GUGUUGCGUGAAUAUUUACAUUAAAUAUAAAUGAUAAGCAAAGUAAAGAGGCUUGCGUAAUUAUGACGCUACUGACAAAGAGACCAUGGUCUUCGUAUCGGAUGAAACGUGAGAUCCCAUUAAUGAAUGGGAUCUAUUUUAUUAUU
rnacentral:sRNA from 23 species